rnacentral:rRNA from 1 species
GAUGAACGCUGGCGGCGUGCUUAACACAUGCAAGUCGAACGGAAAGGCCUCAGCUUGCUGGGGUGCUCGAGUGGCGAACGGGUGAGUAACACGUAGGUGAUCUGCCUUUCACUUCGGGAUAAGCUUGGGAAACUGGGUCUAAUACCGGAUAUUCACGGCACCGAGGUUGGUGUGGUGGAAAGCUUUUGCAGUGGGAGAUGAGCUUGCGGCCUAUCAGCUUGUUGGUGGGGUAAUGGCCUACCAAGGCGGCGACGGGUAGCCGGCCUGAGAGGGUGUGCGGCCACAUUGGGACUGAGAUACGGCCCAGACUCCUACGGGAGGCAGCAGUGGGGAAUUUUGCACAAUGGGCGGAAGCCUGAUGCAGCGACGCCGUGUGGGGGAUGAAGGCCUUCGGGUUGUAAACUCCUUUCGUCAGGGACGAAGUUUGUUUGACGGUACCUGGAUAAGAAGCACCGGCUAACUACGUGCCAGCAGCCGCGGUAAUACGUAGGGUGCGAGCGUUGUCCGGAUUUACUGGGCGUAAAGGGCUCGUAGGUGGUGUGUUGCGUCGUCUGUGUAAUCCAGGGGCUUAACUUUUGGUUGGCAGGCGAUACGGGCAUUGCUUGAGUGCUGUAGGGGAGACUGGAAUUCCUGGUGUAACGGUGAAAUGCGCAGAUAUCAGGAGGAACACCGAUGGCGAAGGCAGGUCUCUGGGCAUUUACUGAC